CAUAUGGAUUCCUACGGGAGGCAGCAGUGGGGAAUAUUGCACAAUGGGCGCAAGCCUGAUGCAGCGACGCCGCGUGGGGGAUGACGGCCUUCGGGUUGUAAACUCCUUUCGCCAAGGACGAAGAGAAUAUUGACGGUACUUGGAGAAGAAGCACCGGCUAACUACGUGCCAGCAGCCGCGGUAAUACGUAGGGUGCGAGCGUUGUCCGGAAUUACUGGGCGUAAAGAGCUCGUAGGUGGUUUGUCGCGUCGUUUGUGUAAGUCCGCAGCUUAACUGCGGGACUGCAGGCGAUACGGGCAUAACUUGAGUGCUGUAGGGGAGACUGGAAUUCCUGGUGUAGCGGUGGAAUGCGCAGAUAUCAGAGGAACACCGAUGGCGAAGCAGUCUCUGGGCAGUAACUGACGCUGAGGAGCGAAAGCAUGGGGAGCGAACAGGAUUAGAUACCCUGGUAGUCCAUGCCGUAAACGGUGGGCGCUAGGUGUGAGUCCUUCCACGGGGUUCGUGCCGUAGCUAACGCAUUAAGCGCCCCGCCUGGGGAGUACGGCCGCAAGGCUAAAACUCAAAGGAAUUGACGGGGGCCCGCACAAGCGGCGGAGCAUGUGGAUUAAUUCGAUGCAACGCGAAGAACCUUACCUGGGCUUGACAUACACCGGACCGGGCCAGAGAUGGUCUUUCCCUUUGUGGCUGGUGUACAGGUGGUGCAUGGUUGUCGUCAGCUCGUGUCGUGAGAUGUUGGGUUAAGUCCCGCAACGAGCGCAACCCUCGUCUUAUGUUGCCAGCACUUCGGGUGGGGACUCAUAAGAGACUGCCGGGGUUAACUCGGAGGAAGGUGGGGAUGACGUCAAAUCAUCAUGCCCCUUAUGUCCAGGGCUUCACACAUGCUACAAUGGUCGGUACAACGCGUGUGCUACUUCGUGAGAAGGUGCUAACCGCUCUAAAGCCGGCCUUAGUUCGGAUUGGGGUCUGCAACUCGACCCCAUGAAGUCGGAGUCGCUAGUAAUCGCAGAUCAGCAACGCUGCGGUGAAUACGUCCCGGGCCUGUACACACCACCAUCGUGCCCGA
rnacentral:rRNA from 1 species